UCUUCGCAGAAGCACAUUCCCAGAGAAGGGAUCUAGAGGAGAGUCACAGCCUGAUUAAUACUUUAUACCAGCUCCAUCGGUCUUAGACUCCUUCUGAAGCCAACGGACAGGUGCUUCUCGGAGGCUGGCGUGAGGGUGCCAGUGCCAAGGCUGAGCACCCCGCCUGCUGUUUGAAGACUGGCUUAAAGCCUCACAUUGAGCAUCACAGAGAGGUCCAGGUGUUGAGUUUUCAGACCCUGGG